rnacentral:rRNA from 1 species
GACGAACGCUGGCGGCGUGCUUAACACAUGCAAGUCGAACGGAAAGGCCCUGCUUUUGUGGGGUGCUCGAGUGGCGAACGGGUGAGUAACACGGGAGUAACCUGCCCUUGACUUUGGGAUAACUUCAGGAAACUGGGGCUAAUACCGGAUAGGAGCUCCUGCUGCAUGGUGGGGGUUGGAAAGUUUCGGCGGGUGGGGAUGGACUCGGGGCUUAUCAGCUGGUUGGGGGGGUAGUGGCUUACCAAGGCUUUGACGGGUAGUCGGCCUGAGAGGGUGACCGGCGACAUUGGGACUGAGAUACGGACCAGACUCCUACAGGAGGCAGCAGUGGGGAAUAUUGCACAAUGGGCGGAAGCCUGAUGCAGCAACGCCGCGUGCGGGAUGACGGCCUUCGGGCUGUAAACCGCUUUCGCCUGUGACGAAGCGUGAGUGACGGUAAUGGGUAAAGAAGCACCGGCUAACUACGUG